rnacentral:lncRNA from 1 species
UUACACAGUAUUCACAGGCAAUUGAAGGAGUAAAAUGUUGGUGAGUGUCACAGCAGAUAUUCUUGCAUAACGUUUUCAAAAGUUGGAAUUUUUUUUUCCUUUUGCAGAUGGCUUACGUUGUUUGUUUUGUUUGCCUCUAUGUCAGCUUGGAAGAUAAUCAAAUCAACGUGGAGAGUUAACAGAUCUAAGAGAUGAAGAAUCAGCAAACUGAACAAUGGUAGCC